UCGUCGGGCUUCCAGCCCUGUCGAGAUAGCACCCUUUGUCCUUUUUGGCGCACUUAUCUUGUUUCCUCGGGCUGGCACCCCCGGCCCGCGAGGACCCAACCACAACCUUUGUAAUUACCCUACAGUCUGAUCUAAACAAAAAUCGUAA
rnacentral:misc_RNA from 1 species